rnacentral:lncRNA from 1 species
AGCACUCCAAUCUCUGCCUUCUGCUCUGUCUUCACACGGCCUUCCCUCUGUGUCUCUGUGUCCUCUUCUCCUCUUAUAAGGACAACAGUGAUGAGAUUUGAGGCCUACCCCGCAUGCAGAUAAUCUGAUCUCAAGAUUAUCACCUUAAUUACAUCUGUAAAGACCUUAUUCCUAAAUAAAGUUGCCCUCUGAGUUCUGAGUGGACAUGAAUUUGCAGGGCAGGCUACUCUUCAACCCACUAUGCAGUGAGAAUGGGCUGUGCAGAGGCCGCCCACACCUGGCAGGGGUCAAGGUGAGCCCUCGGUCGCCACGUUCCCUGGGACUCCCAGGAUGGCAAGCCUGGCAGCAGUUCCUGUUUUCUUUGGUGUCAUUGGAAAUGCUACUGUUUGGAUGUAGUUUGUUGGGAUGCCAAUAUAUCAAGAAAGGCUUCCUUGUUCUCCCUCCUGAAAUUCUGCACACACGACUGUUUUUAGCAACAGUGAUGUGAUCUCUAUUUUUGGUGGCAGUUUUGAGCACCCUGUCCGUUGGAACUUUUUGUGUUGUAAACAGACAGGAGAUCCAGCCCAAAUGGAGGUAAGUAAUAAGGACCAUGCACUCACCUCGGUGGAGAGGCCACGGGUUCGGAGACCUUCAGGAGAAGUUUGAUCCAGCCGCUCAGUGAUGCAGCAGGGACCGAGAGCCCUUGGGUGCCCUGCUCCCUCCACAUUCCCAGGGGCUCCUCAUGCUGCCCUGGCAGCUCUGCAGAAGGCCUCCCUGAAGAAAGGCAGCUGGUCCCAGCUAGAGUCCCAGGGUUCAUGCUGGCUGAGCCCCCUUCUUGUUUCUUCCCCAACCCAGAGCUAUUCUCACCUCCCCUGAAGGCCUUCCCAGGUGAUGGGGGCCAUGGAGACUGCAUUGGACAGCUCUGUGCACUGUCCAUGAAGCACUUGCUGCAGGACUCCCUUAGAAACGUGAGGCUUUAAACACCUUGGGACCCCAGGAGGAGGCAUGUGUCCAGCUAGCGGUGCCCCUCUGUGGUGUGGAGAACGUUCUACUCAGACGUUCCUGAGUGGGAACUUGGCAGCACAACUGGGAAACCUGUUGCUUCCAGCCCCGCGGGCCUGUAGACCCCCCACCAGAGAUGGGCCCUCCUGCCAGGCUUCCUACCUUGUGCAACUUAGCCUCCUGCUGCACCCCAUCCACCAGCUCUGCCAGCACGAGAGGUCAUCCCACACGCUCCUGCUUCCAGGCCACCAGCUGUCCCCCAUGGCCCCCAUCUCCCCUGUACCCUCUGGACUUUGCAGAGACCCCUCUGCUCUCCUUGGGGUUACAGAGCUCUGCAUCUGUCUCCUCCCCUCCCCUGCAGCUGCUCCCAAUCCUGCACCCCACACAGAGCCUGGGGCUCCACACUCCUUCACCACUGACCACACCUGCCAGGUGCUGCCUGCAUCUCAACUCAGGCCACCUGCUCCCGCCCUCCAUGUUGGGUUCAUGCAGCGAUUCUCCCAGGCCACUCUGUGUCUCCCUCUGCUCCAGCAUCCUGCUGCCUAGGCGGCCGUGCCACUGCAGCCCUUGCUCCAGAGUACCUGCCUGGAAACCUUGCCCCGGCUCCCCAAAUGCACCUCCCUUCCCACAGGACAUCCAUUCAAGGCCACAUCCAAACCUCCAAAUGCCUCCUGAACACUUCACCUAGAGGCCUCACCUGCCUGGUGGCUCACGGAGGCUGGCGCCAUCGCCUCCCCCCGCCACAGCCAGACUGGUCUGCUCCCCCUCCUCUUCACGUCCCCUCUUGGUGAUCACCUGCUCCCCCAUUUCCCACCUCAAGCAGUCUCACCCUCCUCUGUGCCCCGCCCCUGGCUCCUACCUACGCAAGGUGGCAGCCUCUGGCCACCCUGCACGCCCAGCCAUGCAGAGCCUGGGAAACGACAGGACAUGUGGCUGUCCUUUCACGGCCCCUGUCACCUCCCCCAAAUCCAGCCAGGGCUGAGACGCCCCACACUGUGGCCCCCGGCAUAAGGCCUUGAUCCUUCCUGAGGGCAGGAUGGGGGCAGUUUUGUUCUGUGAAGUUCCUUGGCCUUGAGCUUAGCUGGACCCCGCUCCCGGAAAGCCCGAGAAACAGACGUUCCUCUGUGAAAGCCCCUUCUGAGCACCUGCAAGGAGCACUCUGCCAUCCCACUCCUGGUUCAGGCUUUCAUCCGCGUGGAGGGCCUUGUCUUCUGUGAGUCCCCGCCUCAGCCUCACCUGGCUCCUAGGAGGCUCUGGGAAGGUUAGCUGGGCUGUUCCCCAAACAAGGGGCCACAGGAAGGUGGGGGCUCCUGAGGGUCUGGGAGGCAGGGGAGACUAUGUGUGCCCUUUCUCUUCCGCACCUGAAACCUGACUUUCCCUCACUGGAGACCUGAGGAUGGAGUGCAGUGGCUUAGCUAAGCUUCUGUUAACAGCAUGCUCACUGUUUUGAAACAGAAAUGAAAGAACAUUUGGGAGUUGGGGUAUGUGCAGAGAAAACAUUUUCCUUGAAUGUCUUUACUGAAUGGGUGGGAAUAGGUAUGUGUGAAGGGGAAAAGUUCAGGGUACAGUGGUCAGGUCCUUGGGAGAUGUCGGGGAGGGCCGUCUGGCCCAGCUCCUGAGGAGGGUGGGCCCAGGCUCAUCCUAUACGCACUAGUCCUGACGCCUCACAAUUAAUCAAAUGGCUAAAAACAAACACAAAAGAAGCCCUCAGCAUUGUGUUACCAGGGCAGCGGUGUGAUGUCAUCUGUUCAUUCCAAGCUGUCACCCCGAAGCUGAGUGAAGUACGUGGUGAGGACAGGCAGAUUGUGCCUUACGUGCAUAGUGCAAAUAAGACUUUCUUCUACAUGGAAGGCCCCGUCCUCCACAGGUCCCAGCCUCAGCUGACACUCGGGUCCCAGGAGGCUCUGCGAAGGUUUGCUGGGCGGUUCCCCCGCACGCCGGGCUACAACAAAGGAACACAGCAUGACACGUGCUGUGAACCUCAGCUGUGAGACAACCGAAGGAGAGACAACAUUCAGCAAAAACAGAGCCCAAACUGUCCCCGUUUCUCUCAGCCCCAACUGCUCCAUGGCUUGGAGUGCAGCAAAUGUUUCAGCCGCGCUCAAAGGGAAGGCUUUGCUCUGGAGUCAGCAUGCAGAGCUCGCCUCGACUCCCCUCCAUGCCGCUCCUCACCAGCACUGGCUGGGUUUGAAUCUCAGCUCCCUGGCUCCUCGCUGUAAGCCCUGGAAUGCAAACCCCAAGGGCCAAACACCCCGAGGCUCUCAGGUCCCAGGCGCGGACACCUUCCUGGCCUUGGCUGUCAUGGCCCAGAUGGAAGCAAAGACAACUCCCCUCUCCACAGGUCGGCUGGUCCUCCUGCCCCGAGAGCAGGAGCCCAGGCACAGGCUCUGUACAGAGUUCUCCAUCUACUUCUCCCAGGGUGGCUAUGCAAAGGCCGUCUGCCUCUCGCUCUCUGGGUCCCACCUGCAGCCUGUCCCAGUGGAUUCUGUAGGCUCCACAGUGAUGCUGGGAAAAGACCCAAACACCCGGACAAAGCACGUGGACAGCUGCCAAUGCCAAAACGGCAGGAAGCAAGGGAAAGGCAGCUGGCUCCGACCCUUUGCCAACCGUGUGCAACGCUGCAGGCACCUAGAGCCAGCGAGGAGCUACCAAACUGGUUCCCAUCUAUGCUUGCAGCGGCUGCUGUCGCAGAGGCAGGACAGGGGUGCAUGGCUAUGCCAAGUAUCCUUCUGGGAUGAGCCGAUUCUCUUGUCCCAGGUCGGGCAUGAUGGAGAGGCCAGAAGGUGUGUUUGAAUAGCAGGCAUUGGGGGUUUGCAAAGGGCUGUGAUUUCCUGGGCCUCCCGUCUUAGGCAGGCUCUGGGUUCUCCUUGGUUCUUCCCUUGGAGCAGGGACCUGGCUUUGGAUGACCAUGGAUCUUUCCUGGUUUCUGCUGUUAUCUUGCUGUGUGACCGAGGUCAAGUCCACACUCCCUUCCCAAGCUUGUUUUCUCUGCAGUAAAACUGCCAUUUGGAACUGAACCCUUCAAGGGGAGGCGGCUGAAACAGUGGGGGUGAUGCUGGGUGCUAAGCCCUACCCCUUCUCCUAAAUACCUACUUCUCUCCUUUUUUUUCCUUUUUUACCUAUUAAUGGGUUAGACAGCCAAAAACCCUCUCUGAAAGAGUGUCCUGGCCCAAGUCCGCCUGGGGCACUGUUGUGAGCCUCAAUUUCUACGGAUCUAUGCCUGGAAAGCUUUUAGCAUAAAACGUUUUAGGUAGAAGACCGGGAUCACGGAACAGGAUCAGGACCCCAGAACAGGACCGAGACCAUGAAACAGGAAGCAAGCUACAUCCAGCACCCAGUUCAGAGAGAGGGCUGGGGACGCCGACACUCCACCUCCUUCCCAGCAAACUCGGAAGGCUCCAGGGCAUCCCUGGAGCUGCUCUGGCAGAGAAGAAUCAGUGUCCACACGUGCAGCUCUCGCUCGAGGAAGGGCAGGGGCGACAUCAGAGGCAUGCUUUGCACAGCACACGCUUCUAGAAUGGCUGGGAUUUCAACCUUGAAAGUCUCAACUCCUUCUUCCUCCUCAGAUCUUGGGAUUUUGAAAGUGAUUCCUAAAUGCCUUUCGAUCUCAUUUUUGCCGAAGGAGAUGGUCCUAAUUUACUGCAUUCCAAUUGGAAACAUUUUUGAGAGUAAAAAUACCUGAAGACAUGUUGGGCCUGGAGGUAGCAGACUCAAAAUUAAAGCAGGGGCCCCUCUAUCCACCGCCCCCCAGAUUGCAUUAAACACAGCAUGUUGGGGAUCAGUGAGUUGCCAUGGCCCUGCAAUCAGACAUUUUGCCCUCUGAAAUUUAGCCUUGAUUUUGAAGCCCUGAGUUUAGUAUAUUUAGAUGAGCUGACGGGCCCAGGGAGUCACUCAGAAAGGGUAGAGGUCCUUCAGAGCUGCGUUAAGAUACAGUGGGAGGGGGUCAAAUUGCUAAUUUCAUCUGCCACUGAAAACUCCCAAACAGCAGAGAACUUCCCAGAAGACUUGUGAAGUUGGGAGUCUGCAGGUGGCGGGGGUUGGGUGGGGAGGUGAUGGCAUUCUACCCCUAAGAGAGCAUUUUGAAGUUGAAGCUCAACUUAAAAUAUUUGUGCCUAUUUUUGAGACAGGGUCUUGCUCUGUCACCCAGGCUGGAGUGCAAUGGCACCAUCUCAGCUCACUGCAGCCUCGACCUCCCAGGCUUGAGCAAUCCUCUCACCUCAGCCUCCUGAGUAGCUGGGACUACAGGCAUGCACCACCACACUUGGCUAAUGUGUGUAUGUGUGUGUGUGUUUGUAGAAAUGGGGUUUUGCCCUGUUGCCCAGGCUGGUCUCAAACUCCCGAACUCAAGCCACCUGCUCUCCUCGGCCUCCCAAAGUGUUGGGAUUACAGAUGUGCAUCAUCGUGCCCAGCCACAUUAUGCUUUUUAGAGGGACAUCACCAAUCAGACAGUGGCCUGGGCUGGACACAGCAUCCCUGGAAGACGGCCCCUCUCUAAGGUGUCAUCUGCCAUUAGCCAAGGACCCUCUUGUCUCUCUAGCUCCAAGUCUCCACAGAGGAUGUGCUCAAAAGUGAGUGUGUGUGGCCUUGCCCCCCACUUCUCCUGCCUGCAGGUGGGGAGGGAAGCAGGUGGCAGGAGGAGGUGGCUGUCUGGGGCUGCCCUCCUCUGUACCUGUGCGUGAUUUUACUCUAUGCUGAGUGCCAGCAGGGAGGAUGGGAAACAACAUUUCUGUCUGGUUAUCAAAUGAUCGCCAUCAUUGGCCUCAUGGCAUCACCACUGUCUUCAUUGCUGGCACCUUCCCGUCCUCCCUCCAGCCAGGGAAGUCUGACCCAGGCACAGGUGACAGGAAGUGUCACUCUGCCUUAGGGGUCUGCAAUCUUGGGAUGUCAAACAGGCCCCACGGUGCCUUGCACCCCUGGUCUCACACUCUGUAUCAUUUUCUGUACUGUUCAUGUGGUUCUCAAAGCAGGCGUGGCCAGGGAGUGGGACAGCUUUGUGUCCGUGUCUUGGAGCUGCUGCAAAGAGGCCCCGAGGGCCGGGGGCUCAGGCCACAGAAACGGAUCUUGUCCCGGCAGUGGGGGCUGAAGCCUGAGAUCACAGUGUGGGCGGGGCUGGGUCCUUCUCAGGCUGUGUGGGGGGUUCUGUCCCAGGCCUCUCUCCUGGGAGUGCAGGCACUGGCUCCGCCCAUGUCCUUCACCUCCCCUUCCCUCUAAUUGUGUCUGCCUCUGUCACCACAUCUCCUCUUUAUGAGGACAUUGGCCCUAUUGGAUCAGUGCCCUCUCUAAUGACCUCAAUUUAAAUCAGUGACCUCUGUGGAGACCCUCUCUCCAGAUAAAGCCUCCUUCAGAUAAAGCCUCUUGCGGAUAAAGCCUAAAGCACUGGUGGUCAGGACUUCAACGUGUGAAUUCCAGGAGGACACACUUCAGCCCAUUACAGACCUGAUGGCUUCUGCCAGACACCCAGCCGAUCCCCAUGGCUUAUGGAGGAAGAAGACAAGUGGAGACGGGGAGGUGGUCGGGCGACCCUUUCCACGGCCAGCAGCAACUGCACCCGUGUCUGGGCACCUCCUGAGUGCUGUAAGCCCCCAUGCAUCAUCAAGACGGAGGCCCAGGCAAGGGCAGGUGGGAGCUGAAACCCGUCUCAGGAGAUCCCCAAGCCACCUUCCCUUGGUCCCAGCCCAGAUUGUGGCUCCCCUGUGUGCCUCCCAGGCCCCAGGAUAGACGUCAACCGUGUCCCCUUGUGGGUGCCUUGAGCUUAGCACCUGCCUGUCCCUUCCAGGGGCCCCUCUAAUACAGGACUUACAUCUUCAUGAAGACACUAACUGUACUAGUGCGUGUUCUCCAGAGGAGCAGAGCCACUCAAGGUGUGCACAUCAGAAGAGAGCUAUUUUAAGGAACUGGCUGACGCUGGCAAGUUCAAACUCUGCAGGGUGGGCCGGCAGGCUGGAGACCUGGGAAGGAGCUCAUGUCACAGUUCGAGGCCUAAGGCAGUCUGGGGGUGGAAUUCCUUCUUGCUCAAGGCUGGUCAAUCUCUUUGUUCUAGUCAGGCCUUCAACUGAUUGGGUGAGGCCCACCCCUUUUGACGAGAGCCACCUGCUUUACUCGAAGGCUAAUCUCAUCUAGAAACACCUUUACAGGUGCAUCCAGAGUAAUGUUUGACGAGCUAUCUUAGCACCGUGGUCCAGCCAAGCUGACUAUAGAAUUAAUCAUCACACCGUCUAAUGCCAAAAUAAUUCAAAUCUUUUUUUAAGUGAAAACAAGUUUAUUAAGAAAGUAAAGGAAUAAAAGAAUAGCUACUCCAUAGGCAGAGCAGCCCCAAUAAUUCAAAUCUUUACUGAAGUCCCAAGAGGCUUGUGGGAGGAAGGUGUACUCCGAACGCACAGCAAAAUCUUAACAUUUCUCUCUCCCUGGCCACUCUCCACAUUGCUUGCUAUGACUCCCCUGAAACUGCUCCCCUCAUUCUCAGCCUUGAACCCAGAAAUACCCCAGCCCCCAGCACUCCUGCACUUCCUUCCGCCUCCCACUUUGUUCCUGUCCUGUCCUUCCUUCUCCUCCGCAGAUGACUCCCAGCCACUUCCAGUCCUCACCCUGUCCCAACUUCUCCACCUUUGUCUCUCCACCAGCCCUGAGGCCUCACCAUGCAAGUCCAGGCACUGAGCCAGCAAAGGCAGAAUCCACCGCCCCCAGGUAGGGAAGGGGAGCAGAGAGCACAGGGCACUCUUCCCUCAAAGAGCACAGGGCACUCUUCCCUCAGAGAGCACAGGGCACUCUUCCCUCUGCACAUUUCCUGGGCAUCUCCACCCCAUUGCUCGUGAAGCUUGGAGAGCUGGUAGCUUACGGAGACAAGACUCCCCCAAGCCCCUCAAGACUGCAGGCCCAGCCCUCCCAGCUCCCCUUCAGAUCAGGGAGGAGAGAGUCACAGUGUUUCUGCUUCUCCAGCACCACCGUCCAAAGUGGAGAUGAUGUCAGCAAAGGGGAUAUUGAAGCAGAUGGAGUGGUACAGAUGGUGGGUCACUAAAACGCAGGUUGAAGGUACGUGCUGCCACGGGCUAAGCCAAGAAGAUGGGAAGGUGGGUCUGUCUGUUGGAAUAUAAAUCCUUGGCCCCAGUGUUCCUGGUGGAGAGUCCUCCAGUAUGAAUGCUUGCUGGGCAUGCUCAGUUUAGGAGGAGUUAAUCCAACAGGUCCUAUUUCUUUCAUAAGGACUGAGGCCACUGUGGGAGCAUGGGCUGCCUAAUGCCGUCCCAGCUGUUGCUAAAUGAAAGGCCGGGCCUGCUAUGUAAAUGUCUUAUUUGAUGCCUUUUCUAUGAUGCAUGUCCUCCUGGAAUGGGGCUCCUGGCUUUGUCAGUCCUGGAGACCCACAGGGAUGUAGAUUGUGCCUUUUGGAAAAUGCUUCCAGUGACCCACAUGUUACGUGCCUCUGUCCAUAUUUUCAACAAGCUUUUCAGAGCACAGUUUUAAUGUCCAUUAAGGAACUAUCUCAUUUGGCCAAGGGAGGCAUACACGGGUGAGUACUCUAAGAUAACACAAUUUGAAGAGAUCUGAUAUGAAACUGUCACACUGGGGUAUGAUCAUUCUCACUGCAAGAGAAAUACUUGAUUAAAAUGCAUUGAAGACAUAUUUUAAAUUAGACCCUCUCGCAGUGCAUUUAAGACAGAUCCACUUUACUUUCCAGGCUUUUCACAUCAAGUCAUGCCUGUGCCCACAGACAGGGGAGGAGGUGGCAUGAGGCUCCAAGCUCUGGAGCCUUGGAAGUCAGGCAGGCCCCACUGGAAUCACAGCCCCCUACUCCCAGGCACACCUAAGGAGUCAGUCUCUCCUGACCGAUGGAUCCAACUUCACAGCUGCGACUGAGCACCAGGGGGACGUGGCGCUGGGAAAUUGUCCCGGCAGACGAGACUGAACCCUAGAAGGGCCCCAUGGUAAAACUGAUAAAGCCUGAAAUGUGUGUGCAGACAUGGGCCUCUUUAUUACCACACAACGACCAUUAAAAUCUCUCUGCUAUGGUGUAAUUAUUUUCCAUAAAUUAUUGGGGUACUGGUGGUAUCUGGUUACAUGAGUACGUUCUUUAGUGGUGAUUUGUGAGAUCUUGGUGCACCCAUCACCUGAGCAGUAUACACUGCACCAUAUUUGUAGUCUUCUAAUCCCUCACUGCCCCCACUCUUCCCCCCAAAUCCCCAAAGUCCAUUGUAUUGUUCUUAUGCCUUUGAGUCCUCAUAGCUUAGCCCCC